rnacentral:rRNA from 1 species
UACGUAGGGUGCGAGCGUUGUCCGGAAUUAUUGGGGCGUAAAGGGCUCGUAGGCGGUUUGUCGCGUCGGGAGUGAAAACCAGGUGCUUAACACCUGGCUUGCUUUCGAUACGGGCAGACUAGAGGUAUUCAGGGGAGAACGGAAUUCCUGGUGUAGCGGUGAAAUGACGCAGAGUAUCAGGAGGAACACCGGUGGCGAAGGCGGUUCUCUGGGAAUGACCUGACGCUGAGGAGCGAAAGUGUGGGGAGCGAACAGG